CUCUUCCUAUCUAAGGCUGGUGCAACGUCACCCUGGAGUGCAGGGCUGUGCAGGUCACAGAGGACCUGAAUGUGACCUGGGAGAGCAAGGGCCUCCCCAGGGAGCUGGAACAGAGAGGGACACCGGGACCAGCCUCCAACUCCUGGACCCUGACUGUGAGAGUGCCUCUGAGCCAGCCCAAUGCCAGCCUCACCUGUGUGGUCAGCAACGCUGAGGACCAGAAAACUGUCACUUUAGCCCUUGAGGAGGUCUGUGCCCAUGAUUCACAUGAACAAG